GAUGAACGCUGGCGGCGUGCCUAAUACAUGCAAGUCGAGCGAACAGAUGAGGAGCUUGCUCCUCUGACGUUAGCGGCGGACGGGUGAGUAACACGUGGAUAACCUACCUAUAAGACUGGGAUAACUUCGGGAAACCGGAGCUAAUACCGGAUAAUAUAUUGAACCGCAUGGUUCAAUAGUGAAAGACGGUUUUGCUGUCACUUAUAGAUGGAUCCGCGCCGCAUUAGCUAGUUGGUAAGGUAACGGCUUACCAAGGCAACGAUGCGUAGCCGACCUGAGAGGGUGAUCGGCCACACUGGAACUGAGACACGGUCCAGACUCGUACGGGAGGCAGCAGUAGGGAAUCUUCCGCAAUGGGCGAAAGCCUGACGGAGCAACGCCGCGUGAGUGAUGAAGGUCUUCGGAUCGUAAAACUCUGUUAUUAGGGAAGAACAAAUGUGUAAGUAACUAUGCACGUCUUGACGGUACCUAAUCAGAAAGCCACGGCUAACUACGUG
rnacentral:rRNA from 1 species